GAUGAACGCUCGCGAUAGGCUUAACACAUGCAAGUCGAGGGGCAGCAUGGUCUUAGCUUGCUAAGACUGAUGGCGACCGGCGCACGGGUGCGUAACGCGUAUGCAAUUUGCCUCACAGAGGGGGAUAACCCGUCGAAAGACGGACUAAUACCGCGUACACUUGGGAUAGGGCAUCCUGACCCAAGGAAAUGAAAUUCGCUGUGAGAUAGGCAUGCGUCCCAUUAGCUAGUUGGUGAGGUAACGGCUCACCAAGGCGACGAUGGGUAGGGGAACUGAGAGGUUGAACCCCCACACUGGUACUGAGACACGGACCAGACUCCUACGGGAGGCAGCAGUGAGGAAUAUUGGUCAAUGGGCGAGAGCCUGAACCAGCCAAGUCGCGUGAAGGAUGACUGUCUUAUGGAUUGUAAACUUCUUUUAGACGGGAAUAACAAGAGCCACGUGUGGCUCCCUGCAUGUACCGUAUGAAUAAGCAUCGGCUAACUCCGUG
rnacentral:rRNA from 1 species